rnacentral:rRNA from 1 species
AAUUCUAACAGCAUAAGAGAGGUAGUGACAAGAAAUAACAAUACAAGGCAGUUAAAAUGCUUUGUAAUUGGAAUGAUAGAAAUUUAAACACUUUUUAAAGUAUCAAUUGGAGGGCAAGUCUGGUGCCAGCAGCCGCGGUAAUUCCAGCUCCAAUAGCGUAUAUUAAAAUUGUUGCAGUUAAAAAGCUCGUAGUUGAAUUUCUGUUAAAAAUAACCGGUCUGCUUUUAAUAAAAGUGGUAUCUUGGUGUGUUUUUAGCAAUAAUGUCCUUUGAAAUGUUUUUUACUUUAUUGUAAUAAAUAAUAUUCAGGAUUUUUACUUUGAGAAAAUUAGAGUGUUUCUAGCAGGCUAACGCUUUGAAUACUGCAGCAUGGAAUAAUAAGAUAGGAUUUUAGUUCUACAUUAUUGGUUUUAAGAACUAAAUUAAUGAUUGAUAGGGACAGUUGGGGGCAUUUGUAUUUAACUGUCAGAGGUGAAAUUCUUAGAUUUGUUAAAGACAAACUACUGCGAAAGCAUUUGCCAAAGAUGUUUUCAUUAAUCAAGAACGAAAGUUAGGGGAUCGAAGACGAUCAGAUACCGUCGUAGUCUUAACUAUAAACUAUGCCGAC